UACGGGGGGGGCAAGCGUUGUUCGGAAUUACUGGGCGUAAAGGGCUCGUAGGCGGCCAACUAAGUCGGACGUGAAAUCCCCAGGCUCAACUUGGGAACUGCGUCCGAUACUGGAUGGCUUGAAUUCGGGAGAGGGAUGCAGAAUUCCAGGUGUAGCGGUGAAAUGCGUAGAUAUCUGGAGGAAUACCGGUGGCGAAGGCGGCAUCCUGGACCAUUUACUGACGCUGAGGCGCGAAAGCUAGGGGAGCAAACGGG
rnacentral:rRNA from 1 species